rnacentral:misc_RNA from 1 species
GAUGAAGAACGUAGCGAAAUGCGAUAAGUAAUGUGAAUUGCAGAAUUCAGUGAAUCAUCGAAUCUUUGAACGCACCUUGCACUCCUUGGUAUUCCGAGGAGUACGCCUGUUCGAGUGUUAUGAAGCUCUCAAAACGCAAUUGGCUUAAAACCUGAUUGUUGUUUUGGAUUUGAACUUUGCCGUGUUAUAACGGCUGGUUUUAAAAGUAUUAGCUGGUACUAGAACGAAUUGGUUCUACUCAACGUGAUAAUUAUCUGAUCGUUGAGGACAUUCCUUUCACGAGGAAUGGCCAUAGUAAAUUCAAUGGACUGCUUCUAAUCUGGCUUUAAUUCUUUAUUGGAUUAACCACUUUUCAAAUCUGACCUCGAAUCAGGUGGGACUACCCGCUGAACUUAAGCAUAUCAAUAAGCUGAGGA